GCCUCAUCUGUCCUCAUCUUCAACAUUGAAGAGAUUGUCCCCUUAUGGCUCCUCUCUUAUUGAGGCUUAUCCCAGAAAAGUAAGGGCUGUUGAAAAUAUGGGUGAGUGUGGAAGAUUCAAAGCUGUAACCACAGCCUCCUUCCUGCAAAAGGAAAGGAGAAUCCUUAUAUUGUUUCAACACAUUUUCUUGAAAGAAUUGAAGAACCUGAUUAUUCUUGUAGUGAUAGUUCAGUUGGCAGUUGUAGUGUGAAAAGUAGUAAUUC